GUCCUUUUGUAUAUAAUUUAAGGUCUAGCCUGCCCACUGAAAAUUUAAAUGGCCGUGGUAUUUUGACCGUGCUAAGGUAGCAUAAUCAUUAGUUUUUUAAUUAAAAACUGGAAUGAAAGGUUGGAUAAAAAAAUAACUGUCUCUAUUAAAUUAUUAGAAUUUUAUUUUUAAGUUAAAAAGCUUAAUUGAAUUUAAAAGACGAGAAGACCCUAUAGAGUUUAAUUAUUAAAUAAAAAUUAUAUUUUAGUAUUUAUUUAUAUAUUUUAUUUAAUAAUUUAAUUGGGGUGAUUGAAAAAUUUAAUAAACUUUUUUUAUUUUUAAACAUAAAUUUAUGAAUAAAUGAUCCAAUAUUUUUGAUUAUAAGAUAAAAUUACCUUAGGGAUAACAGCGUAAUUUUUUUAUAGAGUUCAUAUUAAAAAAAAAGAUUGCGACCUCGAUGUUGGAUUAAAAUUAAUCUUUGGUGUAGAAGCUAGAAUAUUAGGUCUGUUCGACCUUUAAAAUUUUAC
rnacentral:rRNA from 1 species